AACGAACGCUGGCGGCAGGCCUAACACAUGCAAGUCGAGCGAAGCCUUCGGGCUUAGCGGCGGACGGGUGAGUAACGCGUGGGAACGUGCCCUUUGGUACGGAAUAGCCCCGGGAAACUGGGAGUAAUACCGUAUGUGGUCGAGAGACGAAAGAUUUAUCGCCAAAGGAUCGGCCCGCGUUGGAUUAGGUAGUUGGUGGGGUAAUGGCCUACCAAGCCGACGAUCCAUAGCUGGUUUGAGAGGAUGAUCAGCCACACUGGGACUGAGAAACGGCCCGGACACCUACGGGGGGCAGCAGUGGGGAAUCUUAGACAAUGGGGGAAACCCUGAUCUAGCCAUGCCGCGUGAUCGAUGAAGGCCUUAGGGUUGUAAAGAGCUUUCAGUGGGGAAGAUAAUGACUGUACCCACAGAAGAAGCCCCGGCUAACUCCGUGCCAGCCGCCGCCGUAAGAC
rnacentral:rRNA from 1 species